GACGAACGCUGGCGGCGUGCCUAAUACAUGCAAGUAGAACGCACAGUUUAUACCGUAGCUUGCUCCACCAUAAACUGUGAGUUGCGAACGGGUGAGUAACGCGUAGGUAACCUGCCUGGUAGCGGGGGAUAACUAUUGGAAACGAUAGCUAAUACCGCAUAAUAUUAAUUAUUGCAUGAUAAUUGAUUGAAAGAUGCAAUUGCAUCACUACCAGAUGGACCUGCGUUGUAUUAGCUAGUAGGUGAGGUAACGGCUCACCUAGGCGACGAUACAUAGCCGACCUGAGAGGGUGAUCGGCCACACUGGGACUGAGACACGGCCCAGACUCCUACGGGAGGCAGCAGUAGGGAAUCUUCGGCAAUAGACGAAAGUCUGACCGAGCAACGCCGCGUGAGUGAAGAAGGUUUUCGGAUCGUAAAGCUCUGUUGUAAGAGAAGAACGGGUGUGAGAGUGGAAAGUUCACACUGUGACGGUAUCUUACCAGAAAGGGACGGCUAACUACGUG
rnacentral:rRNA from 1 species